rnacentral:rRNA from 1 species
UACGUAGGGGGCAAGCGUUGUCCGGAUUUAUUGGGCGUAAAGAGCGUGUAGGCGGCUUUACAGGUCCGUUGUGAAAACUCGAGGCUCAACCUCGAGACGCCGGUGGAAACCGUAAAGCUAGAGUCCGGAAGAGGAGAGUGGAAUUCCGUGGUGUAGCGGUGAAAUGCGCAGAUAUCAGGAGGAACACCCGUGGCGAAAGCGGCUCUCUGG